rnacentral:rRNA from 1 species
GACGAACGCUGGCGGCGUGCUUAACACAUGCAAGUCGAACGGAAAGGCCCUGCUUUUGUGGGGUGCUCGAGUGGCGAACGGGUGAGUAACACGUGAGUAACCUGCCCUUGACUUUGGGAUAACUUCAGGAAACUGGGGCUAAUACCGGAUAGGAGCUCCUGCUGCAUGGUGGGGGUUGGAAAGUUUCGGCGGUUGGGGAUGGACUCGCGGCUUAUCAGCUUGUUGGUGGGGUAGUGGCUUACCAAGGCUUUGACGGGUAGCCGGCCUGAGAGGGGGACCGGCCACAUGGGGACUGAGAUACGGCCCAGACUCCUACGGGAGGCAGCAGUGGGGAAUAUUGCACAAUGGGCGGAAGCCUGAUGCAGCAACGCCGCGUGCGGGAUGACGGCCUUCGGGUUGUAAACCGCUUUCGCCUGUGACGAAGCGUGAGUGACGGUAAUGGGUAAAGAAGCACCGGCUAACUACGUG